rnacentral:tRNA from 1 species
GCCACCGUAGCGCAGAGGUUAGCGUGUCAGCCUAUGACGAUGAACUCCUGGGUUCGAAUCCUGGCGAAAACA